rnacentral:rRNA from 1 species
GUGAGGAAUUUUCCGCAAUGGGCGAAAGCCUGACGGAGCAAUGCCGCGUGAAGGAUGAAGGCCUAUGGGUUGUAAACUUCUUUUCUCAGAAAAGAAUUAUGACGGUAUCUGAGGAAUAAGCAUCGGCUAACUCUGUGCCAGCAGCCGCGGUAAGACAGAGGAUGCAAGCGUUAUCCGGAAUGAUUGGGCGUAAAGCGUCUGUAGGUUGUUUAAAAAGUAUUCUGUCAAAGAUUAGGGCUUAACCCUAGAUAGGCAGAAUAAACUUUUAAGCUAGAGUUUGGUAGAGGCAGAGGGAAUUCCCGGUGGAGCGGUGAAAUGCGUAGAUAUCGGGAGAGACACCAAAGGCGAAGGCACUCUGCUGGGCCAAUACUAACACUGAGAGACGAAAGCGAGGGGAGCAAAUGGGAUUAGAAACCCUUGUAGUCC